rnacentral:rRNA from 1 species
GAUGAACGCUGGCGGCGUGCCUAAUACAUGCAAGUCGAGCGAACGGACGAGAAGCUUGCUUCUCUGAUGUUAGCGGCGGACGGGAGAGUAACAUGUGGAUAACCUACCUAUAAGACUGGGAUAAUUUCGGGAAACCGGAGCUAAUACCGGAUAAUAUUUUGAACCGCAUGGUUCAAAAGUGAAAGACGGUCUUGCUGUCACUUAUAGAUGGAUCCGCGCUGCAUUAGCUAGUUGGUAAGGUAACGGCUUACCAAGGCAACGAUGCAUAGCCGACCUGAGCGGGUGGUCGGCCACACGGGAAGUGAGACACGGUCCAGACUCCGACGGGAGGCAGCAGUAGGGAAUCUUCCGCAAGGGGCGAAAGCCUGACGGAGCAACGCCGCGUGAGUGAUGAAGGUCUUCGGAUCGUAAAACUCUGUUAUUAGUGAAGAACAUAUGUGUAAGUAACUGUGCACAUCUUGACGGUACCGAAACAGAAAGCCACGGCUAACUACGUG